CUGAAAUUAAAUUUUGUAUUUGGAAGGUUAUUGAAAUGAAAUUGGAUAAAAUUAGACGAUGUGCUUGUGUUCUUUAAGAAAAUCUCAAGGAAGGUUGACGUAAUUUGUCCAUUUAUCAUUAACGUCAUCUUUAUCGUUAAUCUUUUUUCCAUUUUCUCAAUGCAUAUACCAUUGCAAUUCCCUUUGACCUAUAACCCCUACUUCGAUGUCACGGGCCUAUGCUUAGCACGAGUAAGUUGCUAGUUUUUCUUUAUAUUUACAAUUUCCCCAGAAUACAUUCUAAUUGCAAAUAAAUAAAUGACAAAAAUUAAAAUACUAAAUGAUAAUAAUAAAAAGGGUGGUGAAGAUUCCGCUGCGAUGGCCGGCAAGCCAAGUGCAAUGUUCCAACAUCACGAAAUAAAUAGAAUUUAAAACAAGAAAAUAAAUGACAGGAAAGUAAAGAACAUAAUGAGUUUGUUGACCCAGUUCGGCGACAAUCACACCUACUCUGGAGGCUACCAAGCCAGGAAGGAAAUCCACUAGUGUACUCCUUAUUCUAUAGCUCUCAGCAAACUCCUCGUUUACACUAAAGACCUAGGACCUACCCGUAUAGACUUCAACCUAGGAACUCCUAGAUCUGAGAUCUCAUCUCACUAUCCUAAUGGUCAGUCACAGCCCCUGUGACCUAUCAGACCUAAACACAAACACAAAGUUGAAGUUACCUUAAAACAAACAAUUCACAACUACGGUGUAGUACACAAGAGUCACUACACCAUUUGUUGUCUCUGGCAACACUUUUUUAAGCAACAUGUAAACAUUUUCACAAGAGUCACUACACCAUUUCGCUAAGGCAACGUUUUCUGACUAUUGCUAGAAAUAUUUUCACAAUCCCUGAAAAACGUCCCCUAAUAUACUUCUGGCGACGUUUUUGUAGUGUUACUCUGUUAUCUCUGUGGCAACGAUUGUUAA
rnacentral:lncRNA from 1 species